GACACUUUGGCCGAGUGGUUAAGGCGAUGCCCUGCUAUUGUUGCAAAACACAUAUUAAGGCAUUACAUUCGUGUGCGCAGGUUCGAAUCCUGCAGGUGUCG
rfam:Pochonia chlamydosporia 170 chromosome 6, whole genome shotgun sequence.